rnacentral:rRNA from 1 species
AGAAUCAACGCUGGCGGCGUGCCUAACACAUGCAAGUCGAACGCGAAAGUCCCGAAAGGGGCAAGUAGAGUGGCAAACGGGUGAGUAACGCGUGGGCGACCUGCCUUCGAGCGGGGGAUAACGUUCGAAAGGAACGCUAAUACCGCAUAACAUCCUGCCUUUGAAUAGGUGGAGAUCAAAGCUGGGGAUUCGCAAGAACCCGGCACUUGAAGAGGGGCCCGCGUCUGAUUAGCUAGUUAGUGAGGUAACGGCUCACCAGGGCAACGAUCAGUA